rnacentral:sRNA from 1 species
UGCCAUAACUUACUGCAGAAACCAGUUCUCGGCUUCUUACUGGAUACAAUUUCUUCGAAGGAAUCCAGGAGCUGUCCUGCCAAGCUACUGGGAUCAUCAGCAAGGGUGCGGAUAAAAGUGAUCACAACCCUCCGUUCCUGCUCCGUCGAUCUCAAGCUAAACCAAGUUAGAAAUUUCAUCCUAAAGUCCUUUUCGAUGUGUCCAGAACAUUCCAACCACCGUAUAACCUUGACGCAGUAUUCGUAGUUAUCAUCUAACUGACCUAACCUACGGGAGAAGUGCUUGGGUGGGCUGAUGAGCAAAGUGCUAUCAUCAGCACCAGUUUCCUGCUCUAAAUAAGUUUCCUGCUCUAAAUCUGAUGUCUGUUUACGACUUUGUGAUCGGGAUUCCAUGGCCGGUGCCUCUCCAACAAGCCCCUCAGCACAAAUAUCAGAAUCACUGGAACCAUUCGACUUUCUCAAUCCAUUCUUUCCUGGACUACAUAUAUUCUCGUUCCGGAAGCUCUCUGUAGGCAUCACCACCUCAGCGUUUAGGUCAGGGACUGAGGAUUCAUUAAGAUCAAGCUCGUGGGAAACAACAUGUGCAGCUUGAUCCUUAUCGUGUAAAGCUGAAUCACUUUGACAGCAGGAAUCUUCAAUCUCAUCUUUGCAGGCCUCACUGGGGCAACCAUUCUCCUCAGCCCAAGCUUUCCUCAGGACUUUACCCAGCUGGUGCACCUGGAAGCCUGAUGACCAGCCAUUUCGACUCUUGCUGUCCCGCUUGGCAGUAGAUGAGCAACCUUCUGCACCAUGUUCCAUGUUCUUGUGAAUGAUUUCCACGCUCUUGGUAAAACACUUGCAUUCAGAGUGGCCCAGAUCACCAUACUCAGUAAAUGAAAUGAUCCGGAAAGCAUACUCCGUGCAAGGCUGCAAAUUGGAAACCAGUAUCCUUCUUUGGUCUUUGGGGAAAAUUGCAGGCACCCUAGUGGAAGGCUGUUCUCUGCUAUUCCAAUACCAGAGUUUAUAGCCUUUGAUAGCAUGAUACUGUGAAGAAGCAGCUUCUUUCAGUACCACAACUAAUGAUGAAGUUGUAAUAUCUUCAAAUCUAAAUCUGCAGGCAGCAGGAAGUGUAUCUGCACCAUGGAAAAAUAUUAACACAACUAUUAAUUCCAUCCACGCAUCUGCCAUAUCAAUUGCUAAAGAGCAAAGUUUCUGCACAUCAGCAGCAACAGGCAGCCGGCCAACAAUGCCACGGGCCAUCUUUGAAGAUGUACCAUCAAGGGGGCCAACCUCAGUUUCCAGCUUUGCUUUUGCAUCCUCUACAAUCUUAUGAAAUUCUUUAAAACGCGUUGUGCCAUCCAAUAGUCUAUGGCUCAAGUAAAUGCGGGAACAAAGGAUAUCAACACGCCGAGCAUCUUUAGCAACCAUCAGCUGCCUUUUCCAGAACCUAGUAUUCCAAUAACCUUUCCGCAUGCAGCACAGCAAUAAUUACCAUCGAGCUGAAUAGAUUGACCAAGAUCGACGCAUCCUACCUUCUGAUGCUGGAGUGCGCAUUCAAUGUGGCACGAUGACUCACAGCAAUCCCUGUCACCAGUUUCCGAUGAGCAGACCAGCCAAAGGCUAGGAUCUUUGUUGUCAUCGAAAAGAUGACAAAUACAGCAUGAGCACCGCUUACAGAAUGUAUUGUCAGCGGUCAACACAGCUUUGCAGGCCGCAUUUUUACAUAUCCAAGUGCUGGGAGGCUUUGUAUCCUG